CUAAUGACUUGGAAAGGGAAUAGUAGGCAGUGAACCCUUCAGAGAGCGGAGCCGGCAUCAGGCUGGAAGGUUCCGCAGGACGUAUCUGCCGAAGUCGCCCCGGAGUUGCCGAAUUGAACGUUUGCCUAGAUUCGGCCGGCUGCAGCCGUUAUCCUGCCCUAAGUGCCGUGCCUUCGUCACGGGCCCCGUAUGCUUUAUCAGCUCGGCAGGUCCUGGGAAAGCUGCGGAAUAAAGGUGGUACCACGGAAAGCGCAAGCCUUUCGUCCUUUGC
rnacentral:ncRNA from 1 species